GCUGGCCUUUAGGAGACGGCUGAGCUCUGCUUCCCCGACCGACCCAUGUCUGAAGCAAAUUGGGGGCAGGUGACUCCUGCUUUCUGGAGCAGGCCGGCUGGAGCUGGGCUUGUAGUGCGCCACGGAUUCAGGGUUGUAGGGAUGAAGUUCAAGGACACCGAGAAAAGAAGAAGCCUAAUAACUGCCCUCCCCCCCCAAAAAACCACGGUGAUUCUCAAAGCAGGAAAUAGAUAGGUAAGCCCUCCUCCGAACUAACAGGCCCCUUGUUCCUUGGAUGCCAGCAUCCUAGGACCCUGCGCAAUCAACCACCUUUUCUCAAAUCCCGAUCCAUCCUUGAACCCAGAGAAGCGGUGGACGGACAGCUUCGUUUAUGAACAGGGAGCUUCAUUACAGGAUGUGGGGUUAGAUCAUCAGCCUCUGUCGUGACUGAAGAUGACAUGCAGCCUAGAUGAGCCUCUGCAGAGUGUCAUUAUACUCCAUCUAAAACAGAAAGCACGUGGGCAGAGAAGGCUCUGUGGGCACACUGAGGCAAGACCCUUGGCUUGCUAGCCCGGUUCACAGUCUGGUUCGGGUUUACUCCAUCGCUGGGAAAGCACAGUAAGCAGUGACCUUGAUGUCGCUCAUCUGAGAUCAAGCCCCCAAGGCAGAACAACAACUCUCUGAGCCUUCAUUUCCACCUUUUGAGGAAAGCAGGUGGCAUUUGUCACUUUUGUGUAGCUGUGACAAAUUACCCACCGGAAACAAGUUAAAGGAGUUAAGAUUUUAUUUUGGUUUGUGGUUUUAGAGGAUUCGUUCUAGCAUAGCUGGAACAAACACCUGUUGUUUCUGAUUCCAUGAAGAGGCAUGGGACACUCCUCAUGUGGACCAGAGGGGCAGGGAAGGUGACUAGGGACACUGUAUCCACAAGAACCCAUGCCUAGUGACCUACUUUCCCCAGCUAGGUCCUCACUGCGUAUCCAAAUCAUUAGAGAGACUCAAAUGUGCUUGGCCUGGCUACCUGGGAACCACACAGGAAGGUUAUCUGACUGUGAUGGAUUGUAUAAACAUGAGUGGCUAUUAUUGGAGGGUUGCAAGGCUUCACAAAGAUUGAGGGAAACCAGUGGCCCAGAGAGCAGCAAUGGCUUAUGGGAAUAUAUAAAUCUAAAAGACCCCAGGGAAGAGAUCCAGGGUGGCUCCAACACAGGGUGCAGGAGGAAAAUGUGAACUUAAGAUCAACGCUUCUGUGUUUAGCUAGUGCCAGCUCUUGCAGGGCCUUGUGGCAUAUUUAAGUAACAGAUCGCAAUGCAGGGGAAGGCCCCUUGCAAAGAUGACAUGAUAGGAUUUGUGCUUUAAAAAGGUUACCCUGGCUUGUAGGUGAGGUAGAAGGUAAUAUUGAAAGUAGGAGGUGUAAGGAUUCGAGCCUUAUGCUGGCCUGCCCCUGUCACCUGGCAGAAUGCACUCAGGCAGUACCCUGGUCAGCCCAAGGUUCCAUGACUGCUAGCCUGCACGCAGGUGCAAAAGGACCCCUUUAAAAGACA